rnacentral:tRNA from 1 species
GGAGUUGUGGCUCAGUGGUAGAGCAUAUGCCUGGCAUGUGUGAGGCCCUGGGUUUGAUCCUCAGCACCA